CCCUUAGAUGUUCUGGGCCGCACGCGCGCUACACUGACGAAUGCAACGAGCUUAUAACCUUGGCCGAAAGGUCUGGGUAAUCUCCAAAUUUCGUCGUGAUGGGGAUAGAUUAUUGCAAUUAUUAAUCUUCAACGAGGAAUGCCCAGUAAGCGCAAGUCAUCAGCUUGCGUUGAUUACGUCCCUGCCCUUUGUACACACCGCCCGUCGCUCCUACCGAUUGAAUGGUCCGGUGAAGCGCUCGGACCGCGGCCUCUUGACGGUUUUCCGUCGAUUGGCUGUGGGAAGUUCGUUAAACCUUAUCAUUUAGAGGAAGGAGAAGUCGUAACA
rnacentral:rRNA from 1 species